rnacentral:rRNA from 1 species
GAAACAGUUGCUAAGGCUGGAUAGGAAAUAAAAAGGCAUCUUUUUAUUUUUAAAAGACCUUCUUCGGAGGGUAUGCUUAAAGAGGGGCUUGCGUCACAUUAGUUAGUUGGUAGGGUAAUGGCCUACCAAGACGAUGAUGUGUAGCUGGACUGAGAGGUUGAACAGCCACAUUGGGACUGAGACACGGCCCAAACUCCUACGGGAGGCAGCAGUAGGGAAUUUUCGGCAAUGGAGGAAACUCUGACCGAGCAACGCCGCGUGAACGACGAAGUACUUCGGUAUGUAAAGUUCUUUUAUUGAAGAAGAAACAAUAGUGGAAAAACUAUCUUGACGUUAUUCAAUGAAUAAGCCCCGGCUAACUAUGUGCCAGCAGCCGCGGUAAUACAUAGGGGGCGAGCGUUAUCCGGAAUUAUUGGGCGUAAAGGGUGCGUAGGCGGUUUAAUAAGUCUCUAGUUUAAUUUCAACGCUUAACGUUGUCCUGCUAGAGAAACUGUUUGACUAGAGUGAGAUAGAGGUAAGCGGAAUUCCAUGUGUAGCGGUAAAAUGUGUAAAUAUAUGGAGGAACACCAGAGGCGUAGGCGGCUUACUGGGUCUUUACUGACGCUGAUGCACGAAAGCGUGGGGAGCAAACAGGAUUAGAUACCCUGGUAGUCCACGCCGUAAACUAUGAGUACUAAGUGUCGGGGUUAAACUCGGUACUGAAGUUAACACAUUAAGUACUCCGCCUGAGUAGUACGUACGCAAGUAUGAAACUUAAAGGAAUUGACGGGAUCCCGCACAAGCGGUGGAUCAUGUUGUUUAAUUCGAAGAUACACGAAAAACCUUACCAGGUCUUGACAUACUCUGCAAAACUAUAGAAAUAUAGUGGAGGUUAUCAGGGAUACAGGUGGUGCAUGGUUGUCGUCAGCUCGUGUCGUGAGAUGUUAGGUUAAGUUCUAAAACGAGCGCAACCCCUGUCGUUAAUUGCCAGCACGUUAUGGUGGGGACUUUAGCGAGACUGCCAAUGAAAAAUUGGAGGAAGGUGGGGAUUACGUCAAAUCAUCAUGCCCCUUAUGAUCUGGGCUACAAACGUGAUACAAUGGCUAUUACAAAGAGUAGCUUAAACGCGAGUUUUUGGCAAAUCUCAAAAAAAUAGUCCUAGUUCGGAUUGAAGUCUGCAACUCGACUUCAUGAAGUUGGAAUCGCUAGUAAUCGCGAAUCAGCAUGUCGCGGUGAAUACGUUCACGGGGUUUGUACACACCGCCCGUCA